rnacentral:rRNA from 1 species
UGCCGCGUGCAGGAUGAAGGCCUUCGGGUUGUAAACUGCUUUUGUACGGAACGAAAAGCCCCCUUUUAAUAAAGGGGGGUCAUGACGGUACCGUAAGAAAG